UACAGAGGGGGCAAGCGUUAUUCGGAAUUAUUGGGCGUAAAGAGCUCGUAGGCGGUCUGUUGCGUCGGCUGUGAAAACCCGGGGCUCAACCCCGGGCCUGCAGCCGAUACGGGCAGACUAGAGUUCGGCAGGGGAGACUGGAAUUCCUGGUGUAGCGGUGAAAUGCGCAGAUAUCAGGAGGAACACCGGUGGCGAAGGCGGGUCUCUGGGCCGAUACUGACGCUGAGGAGCGAAAGCGUGGGGAGCGAACAGG
rnacentral:rRNA from 1 species